AAGGUGAGUAUUGCUUUAGUAAUGGCCUAGUUCGAAGUCAUUGCUUCUGCGAUACUUAUCUUGC